UACAGAGGGGGCAAGCGUUAUUCGGAAUUAUUGGGCGUAAAGGGCGCGUAGGCGGCAUGGCAAGUGGAAGGUGAAAUCCCUCGGCUUAACCGGGGAACUGCGUCCGAUACUGGAUGGCUUGAGUUCGGGAGAGGGAUGCGGAAUUCCAGGUGUAGCGGUGAAAUGCGUAGAUAUCUGGAGGAACACCGGUGGCGAAGGCGGCAUCCUGGACCGACACUGACGCUGAGGAGCGAAAGCCAGGGGAGCAAACGGG
rnacentral:rRNA from 1 species